rnacentral:rRNA from 1 species
AUGUGGGUGAAGACUGAAGAGACGACAGUGUGGCGGCGCGGCGCGUUUGGGUGUCGCGAUCUUGUUGAAGAGGACCAACAUGGAUUGAAAUCCCAAGGUAUCCCAAGGGAAGAUAACCGCAUCCAAAAAUCACCUGAUACGAUUACGAUCUACACUUUGAUCAAGAGCUAUAUGGGAAACCUUCAUGCCUUUGGUAUGACAGUUCACCAUGUGUUUGUGUUCCAUGCGCGAGCGAAAUAUACGAUUUGUCAGAGUAAAGAGACAUCAACAGUCUGCUAUGGAAAUGGAACAAACAAAAGCUUUUGCUUUGCUUUAAUCCGUUGA